GAAAUAAAUUAAAAACUAAAACAUACAUGUCUCAUAUUCGUUAUACUUUAAUUUCUCAGGCUGAAGAGUUGGAUCAUUUUCAGAAUACCAAAGAAUAAUUUAGAAAAAUAAAUAAAUAAUUUGGAGAUGAUAAUAAAUGAAACACGGGAUGAUGGGAAUAUAUAUAUAUAUUUUUCUGUGAAAGUGGAAGGAUGAUGGGAAUUUAUAUUUUUGCAUAUGCACUUCGUUUAUUUUGUACUUGUUAUUUGUAUAAUAAUAAUUUCAUUUUCUCUUUCUGGUUAAAUUUUGUUUUCAAGCCAAGUCAUAUUAUUUUUUAACUCCAUGUAAUUUAUUAUUAUGAUACUGUACGUCUAUCCACAUCAAAGUGUGUGAAUAGGUUAUAUGAUCAUAUUUUGGUAUAUUUCAGUUUAUGCUGAAUUUGAAGGAUCAAUAAAUUAUUAUUUUAUUAAAUCAAACUCAAA
rnacentral:lncRNA from 1 species